AAGUCGUAACAAGGUCUCCGUUGGUGAACCAGCGGAGGGAUCAUUACUGAGUACUACACUCUCUACCCUUUGUGAACUAUUAUACCUGUUGCUUCGGCGGCGCCCGCAAGGGUGCCCGCCGGUCUCAUCAGAAUCUCUGUUUUCGAACCCGACGAUACUUCUGAGUGUUCUUAGCGAACUGUCAAAACUUUUAACAACGGAUCUCUUGGCUCCAGCAUCGAUGAAGAACGCAGCGAAACGCGAUAUGUAAUGUGAAUUGCAGAAUUCAGUGAAUCAUCGAAUCUUUGAACGCACAUGGCGCCUUCCAGUAUCCUGGGAGGCAUGCCUGUCCGAGCGUCGUUUCAACCCUCGAGCCCCUGUGGCCCGGCGUUGGGGAUCUGCCGACGGCAGGCCCCUAAAACCAGUGGCGGACCCGAAGGGCCCUCUCCUUUGCGCAGUAGCAUUCGCCUCGCAUCGGGAGUCCUCGGCGUCCUGUCUCUAAACCCCCCACAAGCCCGCUUCGGCGGCACCAAGGUUGACCUCGGAUCAGGUAGGAAUACCCGCUGAACUUAA
rnacentral:rRNA from 1 species